UACAGAGGGGGCAAGCGUUGUUCGGAAUUACUGGGCGUAAAGGGCGCGUAGGCGGCCUGCUAAGUCGAACGUGAAAUCCCCGGGCUCAACCCGGGAACUGCGUCCGAUACUGGCAGGCUUGAAUUCGGGAGAGGGAUGCGGAAUUCCAGGUGUAGCGGUGAAAUGCGUAGAUAUCUGGAGGAACACCGGUGGCGAAGGCGGCAUCCUGGACCGAUACUGACGCUGAGGAGCGAAAGCGUGGGGAGCGAACAGG
rnacentral:rRNA from 1 species